rnacentral:rRNA from 1 species
UACGGGGGGGGCAAGCGUUGUUCGGAAUUACUGGGCGUAAAGGGCUUGUAGGUGGCCAACUAAGUCAGACGUGAAAUCCCUCGGCUUAACCGGGGAACUGCGUCUGAAACUGGAUGGCUGGAGUGUGGGAGAGGGAUGCGGAAUUCCAGGUGUAGCGGUGAAAUGCGUAGAUAUCUGGAGGAACACCGGUGGCGAAGGCGGCAUCCUGGACCAUUACUGACACUGAAAAGCGAAAGCCAAGGGGAGCAAACGGG